UCUACCCCCCCCCCCCCCUUUCUUAUUUUUAUUAUUAUAAUUUUUUUUUAGCUGAAAAGACAUAAAGGAAGCAGUCAGCCCAGUGGUGUUUCUGAAGAGGUAUUCCUUCAGAAAUGGAGAAGACAGAAAGCUGCGGAGGCAGACAUUUGCAGCACCCAAGUGUUCGAGUGAGCAUGAUGACCACAAGUGUGUGUCGAACUUUUCAUGACCUGAUGACUGUGUUUCCCAAUCCUGAUCCUGAAGAGCCCCAGCACUGCACGGUUUUGGUGUCUCUCUUGUCUGACACACUUUUGAGGUCUUGGAGUCUUCACUGAUGAGCUGAUGAGUUGAAUCAGGAUUGUUUGCAGAUAAUGCUGUUCUUCUCCAUCAUGCACAAGGACUCACCUCUUUAACUCUUUAUCCCCCCCGACACAGAAAUGGUCCCUUGAUCAGUGUUUAGACUUUGCAGUG